ACACUUCCCAGCAAGCCUCGCGCCGGAACUCAGUCUGCCCAGCCUCCCGAGGUGGACGACGGGAACCUUCUAACCCGUUGUGGCGGCCUCCCUGGAGCCCAGUAUAUAGAGAGCCAGGAGGAAGGAGUGAGCUCCGGCUCUGUUCUCUUGUAUAAAAAAGCACCAGUGUCCUGGACUGGACACCCACUGCUAUAAGAGAUGCAGGGGGGCCCAGGGCCCGAUCGUCACCGACUGA